AGACUUAAAUAGCUACUUGAGCUACUGCGACCACUAGAGUGCAGUUCAAUGUGGAUUGCACAACAACAUCACCAGCUUAGACCAUAUACUGCUCGUGUUUACUAGCCAUCUCUGUGGACGGUUUGUCAUUUUGUUGUUUGUGGGCUACGCUGCAGAUGACACAAGCACUGAAGUUGCUGAGAUUGCUAAAAGAUGUGAGGCAGACCCACAACGUUUGCAACAAAGGAGCUGUACAUGAUGGCAGACUGAAAAUCGAUCAGUUGUCCAGGCAACAGCACUGGCUACUGUUCGGCCACGUGCGCAGUGCUGCCGGGUCAGGAUGAAAAGGCCUGGAGGGGGCAAUGCAAAUCACCCAUCGCGCCCUGCCAAAGAUCCACAUAGAAAUCCUGGGUAUAAGCCUGCCCUGGGGUUUUUCCUCCAGCCAUGGUGCAACACCUCUGUGUGUCAUUAGCGCUCUGGUGUGAAAGAUCUCUGUCAUUCACAUAAAUAAAUUAAAGUAAUUCCAGGGUU